GAUGAAAAUACUUUAUUUAUAACUCUCUUACAAAGAACUAGCUUUUUGUUUUCUACUGGAACACUGAGCACUGAUGGUUAACCUGAUGGUCUACUGGAACACUGACCACUGAUGGUUAACCUGAUGGUCUACUGGAACACUGACCACUGAUGGUUAACCAGAUGGUCUACUGGAACACUGAUCAUUAAACUGAUCAAAAAAGAGGAUCAAACUAGAAUGCCAACAGAAUGUAUAAAAUGGUAAAUCAAAUAAACAGAGAAAGAGAGAGGGGUUCAACCAGAGCGUGAGGAAAAGAGAGAAAGACAGUGAGACAGAGCACAAGAAAGUGAGGGAAAGACAGAGUGAGAGACAGGCAAUAUUUCUUAACCACUCUUGAAAAAAAAACAACACGAACGGGUAAAAAAAUUAUAAUUAUGCUCUCUUUGCAUACGGGAUUAAUUUGCAUUGACUUUUUAAGUCAUCUAUUUUUGUCUGAACCUGAGCAUCACCUUUAAUGUAGUUUUCGCAUAAAUUUGCUACAUCUUUCAGCUUUGCCUGUUUUGUUUUAUCGGGGAGCUUUGUGAACUUGGCAGGUGACGCUGUUGUCAACUCUGCAAUGCUUGCCGUGGACCUGACUGUGAGUUCGUUCACCCCUGCGUAUGCACAGGAAGCCGACAAUUUCAAGCCCUGAUUGUAUGCUUUCAGGACCUUCUUGUAUCUUCUUAUCACUUCAAAAGGGCCACAGGCUGCAAGGAGCAAAUCAUAAAGAAAAACUACAUUAUGGACGGUUUUCACAAGGACUGCGUUUAAGACAGAUUGACAUGAUGAUGGAUGAGAUAUCAAGGAGUCCGACCUCUCUUUUAAAGAUGGCAAAGAAGCUACGAGAAGUAUGUAUUUGGGCACUUAAUAGAAGAAGGAGAAGGAAGGGACAGCGAUUGGGUGGAAGACACGAGUAUGUGGUGAUCGACGAAAGCCACUUCAGACAUAAGAGAAAGGUGAGAAAAUAUUGUUUGAAUUUUCAUAACAUUUACAUAAAAUAUCAGAGUAACAACUACCAUAAUUAAAAUAUGCUGGAAAAUUAAGUGGUAGACAUCACUGACAACAACACACAUUGAUAAUAGUAAAGUACAUACACACGCAUUGUGCACCCAUUCCCCUACACACUGCAUUCGGCCAAGUGUCAUUCUUCACAUUCAGCCCCAACCUACACACACUCAUUUACCCACAUGUGCCCACUACUCUACCCCGACAGCUCUGCCCCUAGCUCUGCCCAUCAUCAAAAAAAACCUCCACUGAUGUAUUCUGUAUAUUGUAAGGCCCCCCCCGCCUCCCCCCUAACGCCUGCUACCACCCCCCACUCCACACACCCCAUAGCCCAUCACCAGAAAGCCCCCCGCCCCUCCUGCCUGCAAACCCCACCCAGCACUUGCCCAUUCGUCAUACCACUUCAUCACCUUAUGCCUAGUACACAACAUCAUACGAG
rnacentral:lncRNA from 1 species